rnacentral:rRNA from 1 species
AGAGUUUGAUCCUGGCUCAGGACGAACGCUGGCGGCGUGCUUAACACAUGCAAGUCGAACGAUGAAGCUGGAGCUUGCUCCGGUGGAUUAGUGGCGAACGGGUGAGUAACACGUGAGCAAUCUGCCCUUGACUCUGGGAUAACUGCGGGAAACUGUAGCUAAUACCGGAUACUUUCCUCGGUGGGCAUCCACUGGGGAAGAAAGAAUUUCGGUCAAGGAUGAGCUCGCGGCCUAUCAGCUAGUUGGUGAGGUAAUGGCUCACCAAGGCGACGACGGGUAGCCGGCCUGAGAGGGUGACCGGCCACACUGGGACUGAGACACGGCCCAGACUCCUACGGGAGGCAGCAGUGGGGAAUAUUGCACAAUGGGCGAAAGCCUGAUGCAGCAACGCCGCGUGAGGGACGAAGGCCUUCGGGUUGUAAACCUCUUUUAGCAGGGAAGAAGCGAAAGUGACGGUACCUGCAGAAAAAGCACCGGCUAACUACGUGCCAGCAGCCGCGGUAAUACGUAGGGUGCAAGCGUUGUCCGGAAUUAUUGGGCGUAAAGAGCUCGUAGGCGGUUUGUCACGUCUGCUGUGAAAUUUCGAGGCUCAACCUCGAACUUGCAGUGGGUACGGGCAGGCUAGAGUGCGGUAGGGGAGAUGGGAAUUCCUGGUGUAGCGGUGGAAUGCGCAGAUAUCAGGAGGAACACCAAUGGCGAAGGCACAUCUCUGGGCCGUAACUGACGCUGAGGAGCGAAAGCAUGGGGAGCAAACAGGAUUAGAUACCCUGGUAGUCCAUGCCGUAAACGGUGGGUGCUAGCUGUGGGCCACAUUCCACGUGGUCCGUGACGAAGUUAACACAUUAAGC